GAGCGGGAAGAGCUCAAAUUUGAAAUCUGGUAGCCUUCGGUUGCCCGAGUUGUAAUCUAGAGAAAUGUUUUCCGUGCCGGCCCAUGUACAAGUCCCUUGGAACAGGGCGUCAUAGAGGGUGAGAAUCCCGUCCUUGACAUGGACCCCCGGUGCUUUGUGAUACAUUUUCAACGAGUCGAGUUGUUUGGGAAUGCAGCUCAAAAUGGGUGGUGAAUUCCAUCUAAAGCUAAAUAUUGGCGAGAGACCGAUAGCGAACAAGUACCGUGAGGGAAAGAUGAAAAGCACUUUGGAAAGAGAGUUAAACAGUACGUGAAAUUGUUGAAAGGGAAACGAUUGAAGUCAGUCAUGCUCUUUGGUAUUUAUAUCAUUGAGUGGGGUCAACAUCAGUUUUGAUCGAUGGAUAAAGGCACUAGGAAGGUAGCACUCUCGGGUGAACUUAUAGCCUAGCGUCAUAUACAUUGAUUGGGACUGAGGAACGCAGCAUGCCUUUAUGGCCGGGAUUCGUCCACGUACAUGCUUAGGAUGUUGACAUAAUGGCUUUAAACGACCCGUCUUGAA
rnacentral:rRNA from 1 species